CAAGAUCACAAUCCAUCUCUCUAAGAAAUUCAAACUCAAAAUACAAUAAAAAUUCAAUUCAAAAACCCAGAAAUUCAACAAAAACCCGAAAAUUCAACAUGAAACCCAUAACCUAGAAAUUCAACAUUUAAAUCCAUCAUCCUCUUCCUCCAUUGAUGGACCAACACCAUUGUUGUUGGGAGUCACUUUUAACAGCUCUUUUCUUCAUCGGAUUCUCCUCCUUCAUGUGUGUCGCUUAAAUUUCUAAGCUAAUUCACGGCGUUACAAAAAUACGAAGCUGCUAUUUGAUUUAUGAACCAAUAAAAUAUGCAAGUGUAGCAAUAAACAAGAUUGCUCGAUCCACAAGAAAAUUCAUCAACGUCAUAUAGAUCUGUUACCAAGUAAAAGCCACGGGCGAAAUCACCAGCCAACACAGCUGUAAAAAGAUAGUCCCUUUAAACUAGAUUUCUACAUAGUGAGAUUCAUAUGAAAUGAAGAAUGGGAGGUGAGAUUUCUACGCUGCGAUGGGGAUUCAAGUUAUUGUGGGUGAGGUGGGAUUUGGCAAUUGCUGAAGGAGGGUGGUGAGGGGAAGAAGAAGAUCAAAUUGGGCUUGUGAUUUUGGGUAAUUAAUCUAUGUUGGGUAUUUUGGAUAUGAGAGAUAGAAAAG
rnacentral:misc_RNA from 1 species